rnacentral:rRNA from 1 species
AUUGAACGCUGGCGGCAUGCCUUACACAUGCAAGUCGAACGGUAACGGGCCUUCGGGUGCCGACGAGUGGCGAACGGGUGAGUAAUGCAUCGGAACGUACCUUUCAGUGGGGGAUAACGUAGCGAAAGUUACGCUAAUACCGCAUAUUCUGUGAGCAGGAAAGCAGGGGAUCGCAAGACCUUGCGCUGAUUGAGCGGCCGAUGUCAGAUUAGCUAGUUGGUGAGGUAAAGGCUCACCAAGGCGACGAUCUGUAGCGGGUCUGAGAGGAUGAUCCGCCACACUGGAACUGAGACACGGUCCAGACCUCCGUACGGGAGGCAGCAGGU